rnacentral:rRNA from 1 species
GAGAAAGUAAGAAAGGGCGAAUGGUGGAUGCCUAGGCUCAUUCAGGCGAUGAAGGACGUGAUAAGCUGCGAUAAGCGACGGGUAGGUGCAAAUAACCCUUGAUCCGUUGAUUUCCGAAUGGGACAACCCAGACAUGUGAAGCAUGUCUACUCUGCUUAAUGCAGAGAGCUAACCGGGGGAACUGAAACAUCUUAGUACCCCGAGGAAGAGAAAAUAAAUAAUGAUUCCCUUAGUAGUGGCGAGCGAACGGGGAAAAGCCCAAACCGUCAUGGUAGCAAUGCCAUGCCGGGGUUGUAGGACCGCGCCGUCGUACACGAAUCGUGAGGAGAAGGAACUGGAAAGUUCCGCCACAGCGGGUGAAAGCCCCUUAUCCGAAGCGUGCCGUGACGUAGCGGUAUCCUGAGUAACGCGGGACACGAGUAAUCUUGCGCGAAUCCGCCGGGCCCAUCCGGUAAGGCUAAAUACUCGAAUGAGACCGAUAGUGAACGAGUACCGUGAGGGAAAGGUGAAAAGCACUUCGACAAGAAGAGUGAAAUAGUUCC